rnacentral:tRNA from 1 species
UUCCAGGUGGUGCAGUGGUACAGCAUCUGCCUACAAUGCAGGAAACCUGGGUUUGAUCCCCAGAUUGGAAA